UGGGAGGGGCGACGUAAAAGGAGAAUUUAGAAUACUCUUGCUGGAGAGAGACUCAGAGCGCCUCCGAGGGCGCACUCACACUCCAUCAAUUUCAGUGGAUGCGGUGGAAUCACAGGAGGGUCUCUAAGUUUCUUUGCCACACAGCUGGGCUUCAGCUAUCGAUAGGUUAUCAGGGAAACAGGAGAAACUUGAUAAACUGCAAGUUGCUUCUGGUGUGAGAGAACUGGCUGUCUGCAAGGAUGUUGAUGUUUUACUAUCCUUGUGGGAGGCAUCUCUCAUGUCCCCAUAUGGAGCUGGAGCUGACAGAGGGAGCUUGUCUCCGCUCUCCCCAGGUUGGAUUCAAGCUGGCAACCUUCAGAUUGUUACACAUACAAGGGUGAAUGUAAACAGCCAUUCAGCAUCUCAAAAGCUCUCACAAGAAUGGAAAACAGGAUGUUGGUGGACAGCAAAAGCAAUUUAAAGGUGGGCUUAAAACUAACCUAAAAUGUGGGAUAAACAGAAUUGGAAGUCCUGCACUUGAGCGUUGUAACUGUAGGUCAGCUGUUACCAACAGUGCUGUGGAUUCUGAAGAAGUACAAAUAGAAAGCAAAAGGGAGAAAUGUGCCAAGAAGAAGGCGCAUCAAAUCCUUGUCAUGACCACCUUCCACCUGGAAACCUAUGUCCUCACUACAAAGACUAUGUGGAUCCAGAAGAGGUCUCUACAGCCACCAACAAUAUUCUAUCCAUGGAAGACAAUCCUACUCAGCUAUGAGUGAUCACCUGUGAUUAUGAUAUACAGCAAUUGACCCAUUGUUGUUGAUUUUUCAAUGUAUGAAUGAGUUCCAACACUAGGCAAAGGAAAGUAAGAAGAUUCAUUAUUUUUGCAGCAUGGGCUUGCUGAAUGGCAAUAUACUAGUCAAAUUGUGUGAAUGGUUGCCACUACAGUGGGCCUUCUGGAUCCAUGAUUUCCAGAGACAGUGAAUCAUUGUGCCCCAUAUUAAUGAAGGUGACAUAAAUAUGAUAUGCUAAAGUGUGCACAUUCACAAUGCUAUUAUUUAAUAAUAUGGGGUUGUGAUAUCCUUAUUUUUAUUUGUAUGUGUAGUAGGUCCCUGAACCAAACCCCAUGGAUACAGAAGGCCCACAGUGUAUGUUGUGUAUCCCAAUUUGUUAGCUAUCAAAGAUUAGUCAAAAUCAAUUGAUAAUGGGAUCACCAAUUGGCCAUCUUAGGUCAAAUCUCUCUCCUAUGUUGAUAAACCCACACUCCAGGAUGAAAGUGAGAUAUGAUAGGGAUUGUGUAUGUGCAAGUCCUUUGAGGAGACAAAAGUUUGAGGGGUUGUUUUUAAUGAUUAUAUAUUAAAAUACUGUACUGCUUAUCUGCCAAAAAUUGUACUUUGUCUGUUAGUUUCUACCUGUAUCCAGCAUAAACAUGUGCAGAUUAGAAUACAUUUCACCCUCCAUAUUCAGGGAUUCUGUACUCACAAAUUCAUAGCUUGGAUUUUUUCAAAGGAAGGGACAUCUUUGAGUACUCCUUGCCUAAGAAAACCCAGUGAAAAACACAGAGUCACCAUAAAUAGACAUUCUGAAUGUAGGCACACACACAAUCUCUCAGAUAUUCUAGCCCCAAGCCAUUCAGACCCUACUUUAUUUACUCAAAAUUAAAUAUUGCCUUUUAUUUUCUCUUCAGAGCAGAUUCAGGUUGUUUUGCACUGAAAUAAUACCUGAAGGGUUUAUAUGUUUUCCUAGUGAACAUGUUAUUUUUGUUUCUCAAAAUAUUUAAAUUGAAUUCUUCAUGUUUCGACAGUGUCUGGUUGAUGUCUCCAAACCGUACAUGCCACAAAUACUGUCUACAAAAUUAUUCUUGUGUUUGAGCUGAUUAUUUUUAAAUCUGCAAGCUGAUGGCAGCUGGCACUAGAGCUCAAAACACCCUUUCAAAAUGGCGGAAGUGUUUGACUGCUGUCUAGCUUUUACAUACUCUAAAAAUGGUCUGCAAGUAAAAAUAUUUCAAAUGUUGAAAAUGAUGGGAUAAGGGAUGCGACGUUGCCCAGAGAAAAUGGGUUAUUUAUAUGAUAAUGUUGCAUUAUUAACAUUGAUGUUGUUAAGCGUGUUGAUAGAUAUAUUUCAGUAAACCCUAUAAUUAUUUUUCAAGUUUACUUAAAAGAAAAAAUAUGAAAAUACAAUGUGGGAUUUAUUUCUAGUGUAUUAAUUAUGGCUGUGCUAUCUUCUGAGGAAAAGGGAAAUGUGGUUCACCCACGUCUUUAGACUGAAACAGGAUUUAGAAUAUAGUGGCUUUGGCAGAACUGACUGAAGCCUCAAUCCUAGGGAUAUUUGCAUGAAAUUAAGACUCAUUUAAAUAAAGAGGGAUAACUCAAGUAAAAAUAUUUACCACUAAGCUGUAAUUUUGUGAAAAUGAGAGAAGGCAAGCUAGCAUUCGACACAUUUACAGAGAACUAGGUAUAAUGGAAUACUACGUUUAUUAUUUAAAACUAAUUGUGCUGUUUUUUUCUAUCUGAUUUUGAUUAUUUACUCUGCUCUAUGGGGCCUUGAUGUGUGUUACUGUCUUACAAUCUCCUGGCUAAUUGAAAUCCCUAUAAUUAAAAGCAGUCCUAUGUUAAAAACAAGGAUUUGAAAUAUUAUGGGGGAACAUAACAAAAUAUUUAAUUUCAGUACUGUGUUGGCAAGCAUCUUACCUCUAAUAAGCCCAACGCAAAUGUCAUCAAUAGGAUGGGUGAAUGUAUACAUAUAUUGCUAUAGCAUGAACAGGCCAUUAUUCCCUGCCUCUUUAGGACAGCAUCUGCAACUAUGUGACAGAGCACUGAAAGGAUAUUUAGAGAUACUUCUUGAUGUUUUCCAUUAUGGUUGUUCAAACCCAAUGACCUACUUCAUACUACUUCAUGAUUUUGUCAAGAGAAAAAGCACAAGCCUUGACAAUGUCCAUAUUUCUUAAAUGAGGCUUCUCCCUGCCUGCUCUCCAUAAAGCAUGUAGUCAGAAGUGUUCUUCCUUAUGAGAUCUCCUAAUUUUCCUAAUACCAUGUAAACAUAUAGAAGCAUUUAUAGGCGUUUGACAUCAGUGUGAAACAAAGGACUUUUGCCAAUCUGGGUGCUGAUUGGUCCAACCUAGAGCUGGCUAGGAUCCGUGCACUGGUUGGAUGAGAUGUGCCAUCUGCUGCCUGUUACUGAUUGGCGUUCUGAUCUGGCAGGAAUUUUAAUAAACUGUCAUUGCUCAAAUUGAAGGGUUGUGGCUGUUUCUUGGUCUGCCCUUGGUAGGUGCAGGAAGAAAGGAAUGCUAGUAGGUUUGAGUUAAACGGUGCUAAUAACCUGGAGUAAGACAAUGGGUCUUGGCUACCUAAACAAUGGGUGGCAAGGAUGUUGGCAUGGUCUGAAUGGGUUCUCAGGAAUUAGGUCAGGUUGAAUGUUGGGUAACUUUCAUGAACUUUCAGUCCAGAACUAUUAAGUAUGCAGGGCUUUUGUGAAGGUAUAUCUCCUGCUGGAAUAAUGAUGAAAUUUACUCUGAUGUGUGUAUACAUGCUUAGUAUAAUGUGGGGGUUUCAAGCUGGAGGUUGCUUGGAACUGGAUUUUUUGGGGAAAGAUCACACAAGGGCUCAAUCUCUCAAUGCUUUUGGAAACAAGGUUAUUGGGGUUUGUUUUGGGGUCCUGGUAUUUCAGUAACAAAACUGUAUUCAUUCUACUGUGUAGAUACUCCCUCGGUUUUGGUCAAGUCUUGACGCUGAUAUUGCAGUGCCAUUUCCAUUCUUGCUGAGAACCGAGUUUCUUGUUGUUUUGGUGUUUGUCUUUUUAAUCAUGACAUGCAUUCUGAUCUCUUAAAACCUGCAAAACCAAAAUAUUCAGAACAGUCCUAUGCAUACUUACCUUGGAACCCAAAAUAAACUUUAGUGGUUAUACUAGGAAUAAUUUCUGACUAAAAAUGCAAAAGCAAACCACACCAGUUAGCAUAGACACCCGUGGAUUGCAUACAUUUCCUUGAUUCUUCCUGGCUUAGUUUUUGUUGAGUGAACAGGAGGUGGGCUUGCAUAAUUAAUCAUGCACAAGCUCCAUGUGUGACUUGAUUAGCUGAUGCUCAAGAGAGGUUAAAGUGGUAUCUUUAGGAUGAACCUCAUCCUGGUACUGCUGGGCUGCCUUCCCAGUGCAAACAUGCAUGAGAGCUUAACUGGCAACUUUUUAGUCAAACUUCCUGUGUCAGAAAGGCAAAACUCCUAAAGAACAGAUUGAUGAUUUGAUACUAUUUGUGUUCCUUUGUGUGCCACAUUUCAGUAUAAAUAUUCCAGAGCACUUCAUAACAAUGAAAGCAUCUAAAAUAAACAAUUAAGAGUGUUUUUAAAUGGCCAGUAAUAAAACAGGAGCAGCAAAUAAUAUUAUCGCUCAGGAAUGAAAAGCUAAUGCCCCCCAACAACAAUAAUUUUGUUUUGGAACAAAAAGAUAAACAGAGGAGGCACCAGAUGAGUUCUCUCUGAGCACCACCACUAAAAACCCACCUCACUUGCCACUGAGGCACCCAUCCUCCCUAGAAGAGGGUCACUACUGCUGCACAGAGUGGUGCCAAGUACACCAGUCUCAAGUAAUGCAAAGCUGUCACAGCAAUUUUGAAUUGUGCUUGGAAAUAAACUAGUAUCAAGAGGAGAUGUCAAUGGAACAAAAAGGCCCAUAUUAGCAGUUAAGGAGGAUGUAUAUAAGUGUAUGGCUCUAUCUCUGGGUAUGUGUAUGUGAAAGAGAGAAAUGUGUGGACAGCUGCUAUCAAUAAAGGAAGCUUCUGAAAACAGACUGUUCUCUCUACAUGUGGAGGUUGAUUUCAAUAUGAUUCUAUUUCCCCAGCAAAUGGCCCUUCUCUACUCUUUCACAAAAGUGAAAACUCUGUGGAAUGGGGCAGGAUACAAAUGUCUGUGUGUGUGUGUGUGUGUGUGUGUGUGUGUGUGUGUGUGUGUGUGUGUGUGUGUGUGCACGUGUGUGAGCAAGAGAGAAGUCCAAGAAAAGAAGCUAAUUCAAUUUCUGGAAAAUUAAGAUUAAAAAAAUGACAGUGUGUCAAAGUAUAAUAGACUUGGUUGUCACUUUUUUUCUUUUUUUUUUUUUUUUGCUUUGGUCAUUUUAACAUCAGAUUGAGGUAUUAAAAUUAAGAAAAUGAAGUUUUUCAUAGCUUGGAGAUGAGAUGAUGGGGGAAAUGAAUAUAAUUUAAUUUUGUUUAUCACUCUACUGUUGAAAUUUAUUAACAAUAUUGGCAAUAUUAUCAGCACAUAAAAAUAUGGGAAUCAGUGUGGAUAUUGAAAAUCACAAUUAUCCCUUGGUGAAUGUGUAAAAACUGUUCCUGUUAACUCAAGGCUGAAUAUGUUCUCUGACCAAAUACUUCUAGGGACUCAAUUCAGACACCCAGCUUAAAGCCCUAGGCAGCAUGACUUCAAUUCUUUCUCCUCUAAGAGUGGUUUUUAUCAGACCUUUGUUGCCUCAAACUCAAUUUUCUGGACUCACUUGUGUAUGGCUUCCCCUGAUCUUAAUUAAGAAAAGAUUAAGACACCCAUCAUCCUUGGAGUAUAGGACUGGAAGCCCUGAAACACCCUGCCCAGGUUUCUGUGAAUCCUAGAAUACUAAUGCAGAGAGAGUAUUUUCUGUCUUGGUUUCUUUCUAGCGCUGUAAUACAAUGAAUUAAUCUUCCUGCUUGGAAUAGGUAUUCUCUCAACAGAUGGCAGUAAAAGACUAUUGUUAAAGAUUCACGGUUCACGUGGCUCAGCAGGGUGGCAAUCAUUUAGCAAAACAUCCAGCUUUUUAAUGGGAACAUCUUUCUACUCAGCCUACCCCCUCUCUCAAAUUGCUACACUGUAUUGUGAGAAAUAAAUUGAUUUUGCAGUUUUAUUUUCAGAGUGCCACAGGCAGGGUUUAACUUUGCGUUAAAAAAAAACCCAAAGAUGACAAAGUGUCCUUGUUCCUGAGGCAAAAGGAACUGUAAACUUGGGAAUCUGCAUGUGGGCAUAAGAAGGGUCAGUCUCAUUUGGCUUGUCCAUUAGCUCCAGGUGUGAACUGAAGUUCUGGUUUGGAGAGGACAGGUAUCCUCCAGAGAGCAAAUACAAGUCACCAGGUUACAAAUAUGUAUGUGACAAGAAUUCAGAGCAGUCAGAGAGAGCCAUCCUUAUUAUUAUGCAGUAGGAAGCAGUCUUUCCUCUUUGAUUUCUGAUGUUGUGAAAGGGUAGCACAUUGUUCAUUCUUUAUAUGUUACUGUAGCUGUUGUUACCCCUCUGUUAUACAGUCAGCCUUGUCUUAACUGUGUAGAGUUGUCGACAGAGCUCAUCUGAAUCCACACUAAGAAUAGAGGGAUUCACUUUUAUCAACAUGGCCACCAAGAUUGUUCAUCCAUUUUAAACAACACCAAGAACUACAGGUACUCAAUAACGUUGACAUUUGUUGCAAAAGUAAACAUGGGAGUGAGAACUAUGAGUGACAUUUUGAACUCCUUAGAUAGAGGAUGGAAUAAAUAUAACAAAAAGUAAACAAUAUACUAUGAAUUUUGGAAAAUAAAAUGCUGAAAUUGCACAAAGUUAGAGAGAGUAAAUGAUAAUUGUGAUGAUGAGGAUGAUGGGGAACAAUUAGGUUUUCUUUUCAGUUUUUCCUCAUUUGAGGAAUAAAUGCACUUUUCCCUUUGAAUUUCUUUUUUCAGUCUUCAUUUUGUGAGCUUUUUGAGAGAUGACUAAGCAAACUAGUGACAGAUUUCAUUUUAUAUACAAAGCAUUAUCAAUUUGUGCAUAUGUACAUGUGAGACCUGGGUUGGAAGCACACAGAGACAUAGCAUUUAGGGUUCCAGCAAAGGAAUUCUAGAUGUUAAUCUUUCUGGGAAAUUUGGUAGCUCUGAAAUUUUACAUGGAACUGUAAAAUUGUGUGGACUGGAAUUGCGUUGGAGGUGACAAGAGUCAUAGAAUCAUAGAGUUGAAAGAGACCACAAUGGCCAUUUAGUCCAACCUAACACCACACUCAAUCAAAGCUCUCCUGACAGAAAAUAAUAAUAAUAAUAAUAAUAAUAAUAAUAAUAAUAAUAAUAAUAAUAAUAAUAAUAAUAAUAAAAUUAUUUCUUGCCCACCUUUCCUCAUGGCUCGAGGCAGAUUAUAACAUUGUAAAAAACAUAUUCACCUAAAUACUUUAUUUAAAAUAAAUAUAUUAAAUCAUAUUUCCACAAGGUACAUAUUAAAAUAUACAAAAAAGACAUUAAACUUAAAAUUCAAGUUUAAAAUUUGUCAUUAAAACUGUUUGGGUAGGCCUGCCAGAAGAGAUAGGUCUUCACUUGUGUCUUAAAUUGCAACAGCUGAUCUAGCUGUCAGAGUUCUUCCGACAGGUUGUUUCACAGUCUUGGGGCAGAAGAUGAAAAGGUCCUCUGGGUGGUGGUUGCCAGUCAAGUUCUGGCUGGUUGGAACAGAUCCCCCCAGAAGACCAAAGUUUGUGGGGCUGAUUGUAUGGAAGAAGAUGAUCCUUUAGGUAACCUGGACCCAAACCAUGUAGGGCUUUAAAGGGCAAAAUCAACACUUUGUACUUUGCCCAGAAACUAAUCGGCAACCAGUGUUUUAGGAUAGGUGUGAUAUUUUCAUUCUUGGAUGUUCCCGUGACCAAUCUGGCUGCUGUAUUUUGAACCAACUGGAGUUUCCGAACUUGGUACAAAUGUAAAGUGCAUUGCAGAAGUCCAGCUUUGAGGUUACCACUACCAGUGCAUGCACUACCAUCUUAAAGUUCUCCAAAUCUAGGAAGGAGUGCAGCUGGUGUAUCAACCGAAGCUGAUAGUGAGCACUCCUGACUGUUGCAUCUACUUGGGUUGGCAUUUGGAGAGACGGAUCCAGGAGCACUCCCAAGCUGCAAACACAGUCUUUUGUGUAUGUGUGUGUGUGUGUGUGGGGGGGGGGGUGUAACCCCAUCCAGAACUAGUUGACACACCUUCAUCCUCAGAUCAUGGAUUUCUUCACAACUGAAAACAUAUUUGAGAUGUAAUGCUACUCUUUCUCCUUUACUGUGUGUUCUAUUUAUCACAAAAAGGUUGUAUCCCUUUAUUACUACAUUCCAAAGCAAAUGUAACAUAAUAGGAAUCACCCACCAUGAUCCAGUGAUGCCUAUUUGUCAGGCUCACUUCAAAGGACCAGUCUGAACGCAGAUCAAAGAUAGCUGCUCUCAAAUCCAAUCUUUAUUGAAGAAUACAUGACUUUGGAAAAAGUCGAGAAUGACCUAAUGUUUACAUACAAUCAUUUUUAUCACCUCUGAUGCAACGUAACACCACACGCAAAUAUCAUCAUCAAACCCCACCCCCUGUAUCACAUUUCUACCAUUCCCACACUCUAUACCAAUUAUAAUUGUUUAUACUUUCAACCCCGAGUUCCCAUGCUCUUCUAUCUUCUUCUGCCAGGUGCUUCCAGGAUUAUUUAUGUUAUGACUCCAAGUCCAGGGCUUGGAAAUUCAGCCCUGGGACUUGGUCCCAUGACACCUAUUAUAUUGCAUUUGUUUUGCUGCAUUAAUAAUAUAGGUUUAUCAUCUUUAUCUUCUAUUCUUUUUAUAUUAGUGUAGACAUCUAAGACCCUAGGCCAUUCCUUCUAGCUGUUUAUUUAAAGCUUUCUUCCUCCCAUCAUUGGGUUCUUGUAUUUGUUCAGUUCUCUCUAUAAGACUCAGGCUAUUAUCUCCAGCACUUGAUGAACUCCUGCCCUCAAAAAUACUGUCCCUCAAGAAUAUGGAGUGGACCUUCAUGUGCUUGGCUUAUUUCUCAGAAUUAGAUUUUUUUUUCUCCUGUAGGAGACUGGGAAUUAUUGGUUCAAAAGCCAAUUUGUAGAGGUGCACAUUUUCACGUUAAAUGUAAUCCAUCUCACACUGUCUCAAAGGAGGUAAAAGAAUGGAGUGCACAUAUAAAAGGCUUACUGUAUGUGGUUGAAUCAAUCUGUGCUAAACCAGCAGUGGCAGACAUUGCAUCACAUCUGCAAUAGUAUACCCAUGAGUGAGACUCCAACUGCCAAGAUUUGGAACUCAAAAUUGAUGCGGUCAGACUGAAUGGAAGAACAGCUGUUGUUUCUUGUGUUAUACAAUUACAAGCAAAUGUUAAUAGCAUGAAGCAACUGUGGAAACUGCGAGAGCUCCAAACACUUUGCUGAUCGCUUGGAAUAAGAGACUGUACAGGGCCAGACUAUGAUAUGGUCAGUCGUACAAGUAGAUUGAAUUGCAAGUCAGAGUUUCCAACAGCAGAUCAGAAAUCAAUAUGGAGCAGUCGUAGCAGAAUUUGAAAGUAGACUUUGUAAAAAUGUUAGAAUAUUAAGAGAGGGGAAAGUACAAAGCCUGAUUUAUCUUGAUCCUCUCUUCAGUGGAUGCAUACCUUGCUAUUAGAUAUCCUAAGGUAUCUAAGGUAUUAAUGUCCUAAGGUAUGCAAAGCUUUUUGCUCCAGAGCGGUGCUUCUUCAGCUCUGUGAUGAUGAUCAUUAUAACUGUUUAUUUAUAUAGUGCCAUCACUGUACAUGGCACUUUACUAGUGAAAGAACAGCAACAAAAAAAUUAAGAUGUAGGAGACCUGCAAUUCCUUGACCCAUGCUUUCCUCCCCAGUGUGCUAGAGAUUAGUCCUGUAUUUGUUCCCACUUUUUAUCUUUUUUAGAAGCUCUCCAGGAACUGACAGGAGAUGACUCAGGGACUGGCACCAGUCAACAUAUCAACAUAUCACCACAUGCUGUUUCAUACCCAGUUCUCCUUGGAAGGGGCUUCAUUGGUCAUGAAGAUGAAAGUUCAGAGCAUGAUAUGCUUCAUGAUUCAGUGCUAUUUCCUCUACUAGAAGCUUUUGGGAGAAGAUUCAGGCUGAGUGUUUAAAAUCUUUUGUUUUAUUUCUUGAAGCUUUUUUUAUUUUUUGCAGGUUGCAUUUUUAAUAGUCAAUAGGGUAAUCAGAAGGUCCUAUGGGAGAGCACUAUCUCCUAGACUCACUGGACUAAUGUUAUGCAUUUUAUGCUUGAAAGUUUGGUGUUCCCCCUAGUGCCCUGUCUCUUUGGGAUUGGAGUGAGGUAUAUGUUUUUCUAAAUUUCCUUCUCUGAUAUUUUUAUUUGGAUUUCUAUGGCAUAUUAUUAUGAGCAAUGCAUUCCUUUUAAUUUUUAAAUAUGGUUCUUGUUAUUUACACAAUGCUAGGGGUUUCCUGAAAAUGAACUUUUUACAUAAUAAAUGACUGAGGAAUUCACGGUUUUUUCCAAAUGUGGUCCAAAAGUGAUACAAAAUGCCAAUGUGUAGGGAAGCGGAAGAGGUGUAUUUUGACUAUGGCAUCCACCCACAGUCUCAAUUUAAUCUGGAUCCUCCUGCUGGCAUUGCUACUGCUAUUUUAGGGACAAGAUGUUUUUAAGAUUACAUUUAUAGUAUACAACAGUUGCUGAGAAUAUCUUCAAAUUGUCUUACUGUCACUCAUUGUAACUUUCUCUCUUUGUUCUUCUUUAGCAUCCCACUUUCCAGUCUGCCAGCUAACUCUCCUAUGAGGAAUUACCAGUGAAAGUGAACAGCUAAAUUUGGGGACAUAAACAGGAGACAUUCUUUACAUUUUUCAUUCCUUAAAUAGAACUCCAGAAUAUAUGAUUUUUUGGGGGUGGGGACAGCCAAAAUGAAAAAAAAAUGCAUGUAAAUUUUCUUCUUUGUUUGCAAUUUACAUUUAUAUCUCAUUUUUCUUCCAAUGUGAUUAAAACAAAAACAAAGCAACAA